rnacentral:rRNA from 1 species
GACGAACGCUGGCGGCGUGCUUAACACAUGCAAGUCGAACGGGCCUUGUCCCCUUUUUUUUUGGGGGUGGGGUUAGUGGCGAACGGGUGAGUAACACGUGAGUAACCUGCCCCUCACUUCUGGAUAACCGCUUGAAAGGGUGGCUAAUACGGGGUGUUCUGGCCUGCUCGCAUGGGUGGGUUUGGAAAGAUUCGACCGGUUUUGGUUGUUUUGGUGGGGGAUGGGCUCGCGGCCUAUCAGCUUGUUGGGGGGGUGAUGGCCUGCCAAGGCUUUGACGGGUAGCCGGCCUGAGAGGGUGGGCGGUCACACUGGGACUGAGACACGGCCCAGACUCCUACGGGAGGCAGCAGUGGGGAAUAUUGCACAAUGGGCGCAAGCCUGAUGCAGCGACGCCGCGUGAGGGAUGGAGGCCUUCGGGUUGUGAACCUCUUUCGCCAGUGAAGAAGGUCCUGCUCUUUGUGGUGGGGUUGACGGUAGCUGGGUUAAUGAAGCGCCGGCUAACUACGUG